rnacentral:lncRNA from 1 species
UUUUGAUAAACUUGUGGAUAUUGUGUUGAUAUCAUGAAUUAAUUGCAUCUAAAAUGAAACUGACCAUCUGCACCCCCAUUACGUUCUUGGUUUCCAAACAUUUCUGAAUGGCACCAUUUUCCUUUCAGAUAUCCAGACUCCAAGUCUUCAAGCCACAUUCACCUUUUCCUCUCCGACCUCCAUUUGGAACCCAUUGCUAUAAGACAGAGGCGAUCUCUGGUAUUUCUCCCAUCCAUUUGCUUUUAUUGGAACCUCUUUCAUUAAGUUUGAUGAUUUGUGAGACACCAAAGCAAAAAAGAAUGUACCUGUGA